rnacentral:sRNA from 1 species
GCUGGGCGUGGUGGUGCACGCCUGUAGUCCCAGCUACUUGGGAGGCUGAGGCAGGAGAAUUGCUUGAACCCAGGAAGCAGAGGUUGCAGUGAACCAAGAUUGCACCACUGCACUCCAGCCUGGGUGAUAGAGUGAGACUCUGUCUCAA